rnacentral:rRNA from 1 species
CCUACGGGCGGCAGCAGUGGGGAAUAUUGGACAAUGGGCGAAAGCCUGAUCCAGCCAUGCCGCGUGUGUGAAGAAGGCCUUCGGGUUGUAAAGCACUUUCAGUGGGGAAGAAAGCCUUGGGGCUAAUACCCUCGAGGAAGGACAUCACCCACAGAAGAAGCACCGGCUAACUCCGUGCCAGCAGCCGCGGUAAUACGGAGGGUGCGAGCGUUAAUCGGAAUUACUGGGCGUAAAGCGCGCGUAGGCGGUCUGAUAAGCCGGUUGUGAAAGCCCCGGGCUCAACCUGGGAACGGCAUCCGGAACUGUCAGGCUAGAGUGCAGGAGAGGAAGGUAGAAUUCCCGGUGUAGCAGUGAAAUGCGUAGAGAUCGGGAGGAAUACCAGUGGCGAAGGCGGCCUUCUGGACUGACACUGACGCUGAGGUGCGAAAGCGUGGGUAGCAAACAGGAUUAGAUACCCGUGUAGUC